rnacentral:tRNA from 80 species
GGCGAAUUAGCUCAGUCGGUUAGAGCAGAGGAAUCAUAAUCCUUGUGUCCGGGGUUCGAGUCCCUGAUUCGCUACCA